AAAAUUUCUCAUUAAAAUUUUUGUGAUUUAUAGUUUAAAUUUUUUGUUAAAGCAAAUAUACAAAUGUUUAUAAAAUCAUAUGAGUAAGAAGUCCCAAUAAUAAAUAUUUAUAUUAAAAUAUACUAUAUAUAUAUCUCAAAAUCAUUGAAAUUUAAUUAUAUACUAUGUAAAAGAAAUAAAAUAAUUGUUUUGAUUUAGUUACCAAAAAUUAUUGUCAAUAAACAAGAGGUAUUUUAUUAUUUUGAUUUUAUGUGCUUAAACUAAUUUAAUUAUGUACAUAAUAUAUAAAUGAACACAAAAUAAAUUUUAAUAUAUAAAAAUUAUGUGUAUACAUAAUCCCAGUCCGCACAUGGCGCGGAUCUUAACCUAGUAAACAUUAUAUUUGAUCUAUUCUUCUUGCGUUACUUAUUGUUACCGAAGUAUCACGAAGAACCCUGCUUUAUUUUACCCUAACAGUUUGACGCUAGAAGGAUGGGGAUAACCAGAACUUAGUGACAAUGACCAGAGUUGAGUGUGUGUCUUAAAGCCCACACUAAGAAUUUGGUAGUGUAUUGUAUUUGUUAAUUAGGGAAGAAGACUUGUGGGAAAAAAUAUCGUCAUAACACAAUGAUUUUAUUAUUUUGAUUUUAUGUGCUUAAACUAAUUUAAUUAUGUACAUAAUAUAUAAAUGAACACAAAAUAAAUUUUAAUAUGUAAAAAUUAUGUGUAUACAUAAUCCCAGUCCGCGCAUGGCGCGGAUCUUAACCUAGUAAACAUUAUAUUUGAUCUAUUCUUCUUGCGUUACUUAUUGUUACCGAAGUAUCACAAAGAACCCUGCUUUAUUUUACCCUAACAGUUUGACGCUAGAAGGAUGGGGAUAACCAGAACUUAGUGACAAUGACCAGAGUUGAGUGUGUGUCUUAAAGCCCACACUAAGAAUUUGGUAGUGUAUUGUAUUUGUUAAUUAGGGAAGAAGACUUGUGGGAAAAAAUAUCGUCAUAACACAAUGAUUUAAUCAGAUUCAAGUUGACAAAAAUUGAUUUUUUAUAUUGAUGUCUAAAGGUUUACAAGGUAAAUGAAUGACAAUCAAAAGAAGAUUAACUAAGAACAAAGAGAACUAGCGAGAUCAAAGUGUUUAGGGUUGAGAGCUCGAGCUUGAUGGUAAUGUGUGUGUGAUUGUCAGUGAAUAAAUGUAUAUCCUUCUUCUCUCUCUCUCUCUCUCUCUCUCUCUCUCUCUCUCUCUCUCUCUCUCUCUCUCUCUCUCUCUCUCUCUCUCUCUCUCUCUCUCUCUCUCUCUCUCUCUCUCUCUCUCUCUCUCUCUCUCUCUCUCUCUCUCUCUCUCUCUCUCUCUCUCUCUCUCUCUCUCUCUCUGUCUCUCUCUCUCUCUCUCGUCUUCCUUUUAUACUUUCUUAAGUCAUUAGAAACUUCCAAUAUCUUCUCCUCUUCUUGUUCGCUUGAUUUCAAUGUUUUGGGGACUACUUCUACGGAUCUCAGGAGCAUUACUCGGUUGAACGAAUCAUAUAUUCUUUCAGCGAACUCGACAACCAUCAACCUCGUGGUUUAAUUAGAGAUCGAGAUCGGUCUCCCAUCGUCUUUGAUCUCUCCGCAUUUCACGUGCCACCCAAAAUGGGUUCGAGAUCCAUGUUUAAUCAUAAUGUUUGUUGGCUCGGAUUCACAGAGUUACAUCGUGAUUAAUUACUCACAUAUACGACAUUGCCUCUUACUAAGGCCGAUAUCGGGAUGUGCAACCAUCUAUAUGAACUUCGUUCAUGAGAUUUAUGCAGGCCCAUGGGAGAUAUGGGCCCAACAGAUGUCUCCUUAGUCUUUAAUGGGCUUGCGGUAUAGUUAAGGACGAAAUUUUUGUCUGUCAAAUCUCCAUAUUUUUUUUUCUCGUGUGGAUAAGUACACUGAGAUGUGUCUAAAUCUUUGUGGGGUAUUACUCUCGUAUGAUCCUUUUCAAUGAUAUCUUUUCGAGAUACAUGGAUUUUUGAUAUAAAUUCUAGGGUUGAACCUUUUAUUAGUUACACUUUUCUUUACUUUUCGCAAUGCCUCACAAACUAUGUCCACUAGGAGAAGAUCAAGAUUUUGUAAAUCCAAGACGAUCCGUAGCAUGUGCGAUGUUGGGGGAUCGGAUAGGAUACAUUCCAAAGAGGUUAGUGAUGCUCUGACCGAAGUUCUGAGGGAAGAUACAUGUCUUCCUCAGGCGGCAGGUGGCAAUAUCGGUUUCAUUAGUUGCGAAAGUGCCGUACCAGCCGGUGUUGCCAGUACGAAACCGACUAGUCCUACUGGCUGUGACGGACGUGAUCGUCUUUCGAAGAAGGUGAGGACCAACAAUGCGGAUUUGAGAUCUGUUUGUCGAGCGAUGCUGCAUGAAUUAUUUUGAUGUUUUAAAGUCUUUUUGUGUUAAAUAGAUCUUAAUAAUAAUCCUUUUAACACCCAAAAUUCUUUUAAUUUUCUUUUUAACAUCUCAUAUCCCAAAAACUAUCAAUUUUAAAACCAACUUCCAACCAAUCCCAUAACUUUGUAAUUUUAUUUUUUUAAUAAUACUAAUUCAAUAUUAUUUUUUAAAAUUUAGUUAAGAAUAUUAACAUAAAAUAAACUAAAAUUUAUGUCAUUUAAGUUAUUUAAGUUGAUUACAUAAAAAUUAUUAUUCAUAUGUAGUUAUUAUAUUACAAAAGAUAACAAUAUGAAUUAAAAAUAGUAGAAUAUUUAACAUAACUAUUGUAGAUGUUAAAAUGAAGUGAGUGUUAAAUAAACAGGUGGACGAGAGAGAAGAUGAUGUGGAGUGUUAUAAAAAAGAGGGUGUUGAAUUGUUAGAACCAUUAUAUAUGAUCUUCUAGCUUUCUACAUAGGUCUAUCAUUUUGAUAAACAAUAAAUAAAGCUAGGAUUGGCUACAAAUUACCCUAGUAAAGGCUACAAUAAGCUAUCCUAUCACCUCUAAAGCCAAAAAGAUUGUGGCAAUUCUCAUCCUUACAAAAUCUUCUCGAUUCCAUCCUUCAGCAAAUGAACUCAAAUCAAGCUGUAGAAGAAUUUUGAAGAAGGAAGGCAUAGCUGAAGGAUUCUAAUUCUACCCAAAAUACGAAGAGCUUGUGAGAUUCUACUUGUGUUGGAGAUGAGCAUCUAAUCAGAUCAUAGCUCUGCUUAUCGUCUAAAUUGAUCUCUACAAGUUCAAUCCUUGGGAGAUUUUGGGUACUUCUUCACACCUAGAGACCGCAAAUACCAAAUGAUUCUCGUCCAAACUAGUGCUGCAGGAACCGGUUAUUGGAAUGUCACUGGAGCACAUAAACCAGUCGGUAAACCCAAGACGUAAGGUAUAAAGAAAGCACUUGUAUUUUACGCUGGGAAAGCACCCAAAGGAAUUAAAACAAGUUGGACUAUGCACGUGUAUCACCUCCCUAAUGUCAAUAGACCAGCUUAUGUUAACGAAAAAAACAACCCAAGAAUAUGUUCUAUUAUGUUUCAUCAUAUUGUUUUUCUUGUUUAAAUGUGAUGAUGAUUUAGAUUAUUUAAAUUUGUUGUUACAAUGUUUUAUUUAACAUUUUGAUGUUUGGAUGUUAACAACUUGUAGUUUUGAUAUGCCAAAGAUUGAACUUUGUGCGGGCUUUGUGAUCAUGAUUGCAGGCUUUGUGCGGUCUUUAAGUAUUUUGUUAUUUUGACUUAUGAGGUUAAACCCUUUGGGUAAUAGUGAAGGUUACCUAAUGGGAGAGACAAAGCAUUGAAAAAGCUAUUUCAGGCUUCAAAACAAGGGGAAGUUCAGCAUUGGAAUGUCGUUAAUCUCGAACUAUUAUUUAUCUAAAAUACUUCAAAUAUACUAGUUUAUGUGGAAGUACCCGACUUUUAAUUAAUCUCGGCUAAUAAAAUGGUUUUUCUGGCUAUUAAUUCUUUUAUCAGGAUUAAUAUUGUAAUAUUCGGUUAAGAUUAACGUGUACAUAUGACUCCAUCUCUUAUAAUAACCUACCUCGAACUCAAGAUGUAUUGUCUGGUUAUAAUACGCAUUCACAUUAAUAUAAACAAAAAUUAUUUUCUUGCUUUUAUUAUAACAGUCCAAAUUAUCAUGUAUUAUCCGGUUGUUGGAUAAAUUAUCAGCACAUUCAUAUCAUAUAUGAUGCAAUGGAGAAUUAUGUUAUUUGAAUUAUGCUAUUAUAUAUACCUAGUAUUCAUUAAAUUAAGUGGCUAAAUCUAAAAAUUACACCUAAUUUAAUGUAAUCCUAUGCAGUUGUAGUAUGAAGAUUGUUAGAACCAUCAAAAUGCACUUCUUUAAAUAUAUGCUUACUUCUUAGUUCGUAUUAAUAUAUAGUUUUAACUCAAGUUGGUUGUUAAUUUAGUUAACCGAACAUUCAUUUGUUAUUUAUUGUGUUGACAUAUCAUUAUACAGUUCGUCAUUUAUUGGCAAAGUGAUAAAUGCAUUUUAAAUCACUUUAUUUUUAAAUUGAUAAAUAUAAAUAUUUAUGUAAAUAUCUGGCUAUUUAUUAUAUUCUACGGUAUCCUACUAUAUAAAAGGAGCUAAAUCCUAGCUUCCUAAGCCUUGCCACAUGAACAAAAUAAUCAGAACCAACCAUUAUGCCAUGUUAUUUUGGACUACACUUUUAAAAAAAAAACCAACCAUUAAAAUAUGCGAAGAGUCACGGUUUAACCCGGUUCAACUCCAAUUACAUCAUAAUAAAACAAUGCAUGCAUUGAUUGUUGAUUAUUAGUCUUCUAGCUACCACAUCUUUGCCAUCCUAAAUCAAAAUCGAUUUUUACAACUUUAACUUGCCCCAUACUUAUUAUUCUUAUAGCUGGUGAACAAUUUAAUUUAGGAAAUCGUUAUAUUUCAUGCCAAAAAUGCCUACUGUAUUCAAUGAAAAUUAAAUAACAUAUAUUUUACCAUUAGGAUCAAGAACUCUAAUCUGAAGAUCAUAUAUUCAUCCCCUCUCACUCUGAAAAAACUACCACCGCCAACCGUUCAAGAUUUUGUGUAAGUCAAUAUUUGAAAGUCACAAUUUUGUCAAUUUCUUAGCAUAAGUGAUAUGUUUAAGAGUUGGAUAGUUAAGUCUGUAUGCGGUUGGGGACGUGGGGUUUGGCUCACCUUCCACUGUUUAUUUUCAAUUGUUUUAAUAAUAGAUUCAUAUUGAUAAUCUGUGCGAACAAACGUAUAAAAUUUUAGUUGGUUAAGAUUAAACAUAGACCGACAAUCUUCCGUCUUUAGCUAUUGGUCUCCGCCAAAAAAAAUUGAUUUAAUAAAAUAGUUCAUGCCUGCUAAGCUACUAUAAUUGUAGUUCACAUCUAUCGGUCAUAUAAAAUAUUUAGUUUUUUUUGGCUUUAUAAGAUUUUAGUUUGUAAUUAAUCUCAUGGUUCAAUUUUAUCAAUUGAGACCUUUUUUACUAUGUUUUAUUAUCAAACCAUUUCACUUUGCCUAACAUUUAAAUAUUCUUUCCUUUGUUUAAGGAUUGAUUUUUCCUCAAUACCAUAGUCAAACCAACCGCCAAAGAUCCUCCGCUUGUGGGAGGUAUUUUGAAUUUACAAGUACAUUUUUGAAUCAAAAACAUUAUUAGUAUUGAUAUAUUAAUUUAAUACUUUAAUCCAAAACUUUAAUAAAACAAAUAUAAAAUACAAAUUAUGUUUUAUAUAUAUAUAUAUAUUUUAUAUUUUUGACUAUUUACAUCUUAUUAAAUUUGAAAUGCACAAAAAAAAAGAAAAGUUACAUCUUAUUUAAUAAGAUUCCAAAUAUGUAAAUGAAAUGCUACGUUUUGAUUUUUGUUUAUUGCUACGAAACGUUUUAAAAACUUGGGAAAAUGUAAAAAUACAGACGACAUGACCGGCCACUCCUUUUCCCCCGGUUUGCAAGAAUCUAAUUAAGUCGCUUAAUAUUUGUUCCAAAUUAAUAUAUAGUCCCAUCAUAAUCAUAAAUUAAUAAUCUAUCUCUAUAUAAUUUUAUAUAAGUACUAAAUAAAGAUAUUUUUAUUCAUUUUAUAGUUACAAAACUCUAAUAAAACAAAUAUAAACAUUAUUAGUAAAAUAUGUUUUUUAUUUAAAAAUACAAAUUAUGAAAGAAACCAUAAUUAGUUCUUAAUAAAAAAACCAUGCUCCCAACUGUAUCAACAAAUUUGUCAUUCACUCCUAGAAGACACAUAUAGAAAUAAUUAAAUACUUUGGCAAAAAAAAACAUUUUUGUGAUGAAGAUUCUUAGAUGAUGAUCGUUUUCUAUACAAACAUACGGCACCUCUUCACCAUUGUUUUAAUCCCAGGAAAACGCGUAGAAAUAUAUUAACACAAAUAUUAACAUACUUUAAUUAAAUAUGUAAUCCGCGCGGAGCGCGGACAACGGCUCUAGUAUGUGAUAAUUAAGAUUAAAUCAAUGCUAGCUUAAGUAUCUAACUGCUACACAAACAUGCGCUCAAAUUAAUAAUUAAUAUAUUAUUAAUAAAUUUAAUAUUUUUAAACAUACCUCGAUUUGGACAAAAGGGUAACUACACUACAGUCAUCUUAUUGAUUUUCCAAAUAUCAUAAAAUUUUGCAUUGAUAGCUAAUUACUAAUGUCUUAUGGUUAUUAAGUUAAAUGAGUCAUUUUAAUUUAAAAAAAACUCCAGAGAAAUGUAACAUGACAAAAAAUAUAAAUUCAUAUGAAAAAGAAAUUUUAGCAAAUCUCAUAAAAUAUAAAUACUACUUUAAAAUAUUUGAACAUAAAAAUGAAAAUUAAUAUUUCUAUAAAUUAAUAAAAUACUAUAAUCUCAAUUUUAUUAAUUUAUAUAGUAUUUACGGUAAUUAGAUUCUUGGUUAAACUCCACAUUUAUCCUUCAAAAUUUUGGUUUUUAAAACCAUAGUAUACUUAUCUUUAUUACAUACUUUACUAGGACCGGUCUCCUCUACGGUCGGGAUGAUAGUUUGAAAAUAAUUUAAAUAAUUAGAAUUAAUAUUUUUUAUUUUUGUUUAAUAUUUGUUUACAUUUUAAAUGUUUUGUUAUAUAUUAGUAUGAAUCAUUAUUUUAUUGAUUGUUAUUCUUUAUUCAGUUUGAUUCUCAUUACAAUUAAUUAAAAAAUUUAAAUUUAGGGUAAACUCGCCCGUGAAUAAAGUAAUGAGAAAAUUAUUUUUAAUUUUUAAUUUAUCUUAACUAAAAAUUGCAUUAAGGUUCAUAAUUGUUUUACAACAAUUUUAUCUAUUUAUUUUACUUUUCCAUUUUAGAAAUUUUAGUGACACAUUAAACAUAUGGUAAAUAUAAUCCCACAAUUAUAUAUGUUUUUCUUUUAUGUUCACACAUUUUAAGUCUUGUUCGGAAACUCGCUAGGCGCUACGCGUGCGUUCGGGUUGGGCCUAGCGCCUAACGAAGAAAUCGGAUUUUAAUCGGGGAUUAAUCGGAGAUUAAUUUUAAGUUUUAUUUUAUUUUUAAAAUAAAGUUAUAUACAAAAUAUAUUUUAAGUAACAUAUCGCAAAGAUUACUUGUGGUCUAGUGGUUUAGUCAUUGCUUGGUGACAUACCAGUCCCGGGUUCAACGCCCAAGAAAGUCAUUUUUGCAUAUUUUUUAUAUUUUUUAGCUAAAUGGCAGUUUUGUAAUUAUAUCUUCAUCUUCUUAUCAGGGCUUUGCCUGUUUCUGCAACUUUUUUUUUACGGCUGCCAUAGAUUUUCUUCGAAAAAUCUUCAUUUCUCAUGCGUUUUUGUUGUUGUUUACACAUAACAACUAUAGAUCUAUCAAUACUUGUUGAUUUGAACUUCAAAAUCGCGAAAACAAAGAUUUUUUUUGUAUCAGACCGCCUAACUGUCCGAUUGGUAGCAAAUCGCAGCGGUAGGGUGCCGCUUCACGCCUAGUCGCCGGAAAAUCGGACCUCCUCGCCGCGUUUUAGAACAAGAUUUUUAACAAACACAGUCAUUACUUUUAUUCUAUUUAAUUUGUACACUACAUAUUAAUCUCAGAUCUCAAAAUUUAUAGGAAACAAUCGAAUAACUAUUCAUGAUGCAUCUUAUACUUUAGCAUGAAGUUUUUAGCAGAAGGUACUUUAUAAAUUGAAGUUGGUUUAUAAAUAUUGUCACGAUAUCAAACAUGAAUAAGAUGACUCUCCUUUACAAUUACUAAGUGUUCUUGAAAGAUUUGCAGAGCUCUUAACAUUUAUUGAAAAACAGAGAAAACUGCAUAACAAAAAAUUUGAGAUUGAUAAAAAAAAUCUGUUCUGAGAGUUGGAUUAAUUAUAAAGACACUGUGUAGCUAACUCCAUAUGCCACUUGAGAGACCAUCCUGAUUCUCCAUGAUAGAGCCUCCAUGGUUUACAAAAAUAUCAAGCUCCUCCCCUGUUCACUUUAAUAUAAAUUGGUGACUGCAACUGAUCCGUUGAUAUAUUUUUCUGCAUUGAGUCUUCCCUCUUACUUAAUUCGUCCUCUUUAAUACUUUUCAAGUGAUUCAACUGUUUCUAAUGCUUCUGGUAAAGGGCAUCACUAAGCUGCCAUUGGAAUCAUCUCAGGAACUGGUUCCUUCUUAUCAAGGCUUCUGAUGAAGAAAAAAGAAUCUGAGGAAGUGCCUCUUAUUUAACCUCCACAAUCAACACAACACGGUCAACAGAGUUCUCAUAAAAAACCGCAGGAACUGGUGCAUUCUUCACGAUCUCUUCUGAAACAACUGACUCUUGACCUGGUGCAUACCAAGCAAGGAAUCUGCCCUUAAUUCCUAAAAUUAUAAUUCACGGUUGGCCAAUUCCACCUUAUACCAAUUGAGACCAUCACCUUCAAGCUCAACAAUACCAACGUAAUUUGUCCUCUUAGGUGGAUUUAGUAAUUCAAAACCGCAUUACCUCUCAUUUAAAUCUCAUGUUUAUGGAGUAUUAUUCAUCAAAGACUCUAUGUGGACUUACACCUCUCACGUAAUUCCACAUUCUCGCCUCUGUAGAAGAAUUAGAUACUUCACAUCAACGAAACAAACAUGCUCCAUCCACUAUGAAGCAAACAGCUUCGUGGCUCACCUGCAAAUAUCAAAAUCAAAAACAUCAACCAUCAUAGAACACUUAUGACAUAAAAGAUUCACAGAACAUAAAUAAAGAAAGAUACUCAAUAAAUUGUUUCCUAUACCAUUGAAAUAUGUAUGGAACGUCACUCAUUGGCAAGCAAAACCUUUGCAACCAACCCUUGAUAGGUGAUUGACCGGAGAUCCUGAAAGAAGAAUCAAAAGGGUGAAUUAAAGACAAUCCUAGAACAAAAUAUGGAAAAAUAAGUUUUGAUUUAUAUAAACACCAAUCUAAGCACACAAAACCGAACAUGUGUACUUGUGUCCGAAAGGUCAAGGUUUUGCUAAAGGUUUUGGGAGUGGAGGAGGAGGCGCCUCAUUUUCAAUUGCAUUCUCGUCCUGCUGCAAAAGAAAUAGAAACAGAUAUCAGCUUCUUGAAGAAUAAGACCAUCAUCUUGUACUUGGCUAAUACAAAAGAAGUGGAAAUAAAUACUAUAAAAUAUAAAACUCUGAUCACAGUAGUAGUGUAUGAUUGUGGCCAAAACGUUCUGGGAUUUCAAACCAAUAGUAAGGAAAAGCGUGGUAAGAAUAUAACACAAAGCACCUGUUUUCAGUCAUUUGUCUUCCUUAGCUUGGAGGUGUGAUUUUUACACAGCCAAAAGAAGAUUCUACUGCCGCAGUUCAGAUCCUGCAGUGAAGAACAUAAUUGAGUUGUUUCUUCAAUCACAAUGGACCAACACCAAGAAGAAACAUAAACAAAACUUAGAACAACCCAAAAAUCAAAUCAAGAUAUCAGUAUCAUUGUCUGAAAGAAUUUCAAACCGAUAAGAAUUCAAUGAUUAUAUGCUUGCGUUUUAUCACCAAAUCAAUAAGUGAAACUCACCAUUAAUGAAAACAAAAUUCAAUGGCUGAACACCAUGGUAAUCAAAAAGCUGCUUGAAUGCCCGACCUUUAAGUCAGAAAGGAGGAGAGAGGAGUUCGCCAUUAUGCUCAAAGAAAGUUGUAAGAGUUAUUAUGAUUGGGAAGGAUGAAAGGAUCAAGUUUACUUAUCAAAACUUAUCUUUAUCGUAGUAGCCGAAAAAAUAACUCGUUUGAUCGAGUAUGCUACCAAUCAAUGUUUACGUCUUAUUUUAGUGUGUUCUUUCGGAUGCAUAUUCACCGGGAGCAGAGAUGAUGCAGUGAAUGAGAAAUUGUAGAAAGAGUGGGGGGGAGAGAAGGAAUAAGAAGGUCGCUAAUGAUGACGAUUGAACAGUCCAUAACGGUUCAGGUUUCCCAUUGCCGGUGCUAAGAACUCCAUCGGAAUCGAUAUGAACGAAGGAUUAGACCAGAUACUGGCGUGAUUAAUAGGUUCCCGUAACCCAGUCGAAACGCCAUGGUCGGUUUUAAAAAUCAGAAGUUGCAAAACGUUAAGAACCCUAGAAAUGGUUGAAGAUGAAGACUGAUGUUUUUGCAUUAGGGUUCCCGAUAACAGGCCAUGGGGCUGCCUACAACAUACAAAAUUAUUAGCCCAAAACCCUGAAGAUAUACGCUUUAUAACAAAAGCCCACUCGAUUGCUAAGCCCAUCCGAAUUCUGAAUAAAUGAAGUGAUGUGUUUCGGGAAAAGCGGGACACGUGUCACGACCAGAAGACUUGACUUAUCUAGCUGGAAUCUGAUGUAGUUUCAUUAGAGUGAAGCAAACACUAUUUUAUAGUAAUAUAGAUAGAUAGAUAUUAACAAUAGGGCUGUUCUUUUAGAAGACGCGCUGCGUCAGCGGCUACCGAUCAAAAACUGAAAAAAAGACGAUGAAAAAUUUAAUUAAGUUGACGCUGCCAUUAUUUUUUGCGAAGGUUUUCGGUGUCGUCGCUGACGCAGUUAAAAGCGGCGGUAUUUAUGUUGACGCUGCAACUAUUUUUGAUAGGCAAAACCACCGCUGCCGGUGUUUAUGUCCAGACGCGUGAACGAGAAAGCAGUUAUAAUUAACUGCAAGACGCUGACGCAGCGCGUCUUCUAAAAGAACAAGGCUAAUAUCUUCUCUAGGAUGACUUCUUUGUAAGGCUUCUAGUUCAGUAGAUCUUAAAAAUAAUUUUAUAAUUUUAUAAAAAUAUUUUGAUGGGUAAAAAAUUGAAAUCAUGUAAUAAUAAAUAUUUUUCGAUGAUUUAAAUUUAGUUCAACUGAAAUUGAAUUAUUUUCAACAUAGAUGAGUGAAUGAAAUUAAAAAUUUUUGGAAAAUAAAUUUGUAAAUAACCUCUAUUCAAGCAGUUUAUGUACCUGCAGACGAUUUGACUGACCCUGCUCCUGCCACGUGUAUAUUGGUUCAUGAGUCAUUGGUUUAGGGUUUGUUAACAUAUGAUAUAGUAUUGUAUGUAUCUUUAGGGUUAGAUUCUGAAAUCUUACCUUCAUUUUUUUUCUUUUUCAAAUUGACUCAUAUAUGUUUAGUAACUAUCUAAAAACUUGAUUUAAACAUUUUCUAAGUUUUUUUUUUAAGUUUAAGAAAGUGUUUUUUUUUUUUUGCAUAGUUGAUUGAUUUUAGGGUCCGGAAGACUCACAGAAGACUUAAAAAGAAGUCUUCAGACACAUCCCGCCUAAAUUUUAGUAGAAUUUAUGGUUCCCGCCUAAAUUUUGGAAUAAUUUAGGUUUUCCGCCUCAAUCAAAGUCUUCCAUAAGUCUUCCAGGAGUCUUCCAUAAGUCUUCCAAGAGUCUUCCAUAAUUUGAAAUUUUUAUAAAAAAUAUUUUCAUGGGUUAAAAUUUGAAAUCAUGUAAUAAUAAAUAUUUUUCAAUGAUGUAAAUUUAGUUUAUCUGAAAUUGAAUUAUUUUCAACAUAGAUGAGUGAAUGUAGAUUGAUUCAUGAGUCACUGGUUUAGGGUUUGGUAACAUAUGUUAUAGUAUUGUUGGUAUCUUUAGGGUUAGAUUUGAAAUUUUUUCUUCAUUUUUUUUUCUUUUUUCAAAUUGACCUAUAUAUGUUUAGUAACUAUCUAAUAAUUUGAUUUAAACACUUUCUAAGUUUUUUUAAGUUUAAAAAAGUUUUUUUCAUAGUUAUUUGAUUUUAGAGUCUAGAAGACUCACAUAAAACUUAAAAAGAAGUCUUCUGACACAUCCCGCCUAAAUUAAAGUAAAAUUUAGGGUUCCUGCCUAAAUUUUGAAAUAAUUUAAGUUUUCCGCAUAAAUCAAAGUCUUCCAUAAGUCUUACAUAAGUCUUACAUGAGUCUUCCAUAAUUCUUCCAUGAGUCUUACAUAAGUCUUCCAUGAGUCUUCCAUGAGUUUUUCAUAAGUCUUCUAGAAGACUUCUGGGUCGAAAAUAUUUAGCCUAAUUGGAAUUUUUAUCUCCAUAUAUAAAGAAAAUUUACAUAUUUUUUUUCUUCCUCUCAAAUGACUGCAACAAAAAUUUAAUGAUUCUCAUUCUGAAACUCUCCAACCUCUCUCUAAUCUUAAUUUUAUAUUCAUUUCUCACUUUUUCUUACGUCUUCUCACUAAUUUAUCUUCUUUUUGCAGAUUUUUCAUUACAUGAUUCUCUUUUUUUUUUUUGAAUGAAUGUUAAAUUUAUAUUCAUCAAAAAAGCCUUUUUACAUCAAGUGUAGACCUUAAUAGGAAAAUCCUAAUCUUUUGCAACUUAUACUUCUAAAGAUUAAUUUUCUACACUCUUGUACUAAACCAAUAUUGAAGAGCAUUCUCCAUACCCUUUCCUCCUUUCAAUCUCAUUAUGCUUAGCUUGUUACUAACUCCUUUGUCAAUCCGCUUCUUCAUUACUUCCAGAGGUAAAGGUUUCUCACCAUGUCUUAUUUUGUUUCUCUCCAUCCAUACUGUGUGCACAAUAGCUUGGAAAGCAUAUCGAGUACAGAAAGAUCUCUUCUUGUCAUUAUCAACCCGUGAUAACAACACCACAACUUCCGACCAGUCUGUAGUAAAAUCUCUUCCCAGAAUCCCCUUUACAAGAUGCUCCCAAAGCUGAGAGGUGUAUGAGCAUUCAAAGAACAAGUGAUUGCGGAAUUCUCCAGCACUCUUGCAAAGAACACAUGUAACAUCCACACCUUGACUCCAUUUCUCAAUUCUAUCCAUAGUUGCAAGUCUGUUAAGCAUUGCUAGCCAAGUCAAGAAAGCAAACUUAGGAGUGGCUUGCGCGAACCAUAUACCUCUCCCCCAACUACAAUGAGUAUGUUCCUCUCUUAGUAACUCCCAGGUCUCCCGAGUUGAAAAUUUCUCUUUAAAUCCUGAUUUAUAUUUCCAUAGACACACAUCUUCUGAAUUUUCGCAUAUCUUCUCUUCUACUUUAGUCAGCUCUGCCUCCACUUCAGUUAGCAACGUAUUUCGAUGCCUUCUUCUUCUAGCUUUAAGCACUGCUUCUUCCACUGUUGCUUCAUUUUUUAUUCCCAUGACCAGAGCUCAUCUUUCACCCAACCUCUCAAAUAAAAUCCCUUUAGAAGACCAAUUCUCAUACCAAAAGGAAGUGCUUCUGCCAUUUCCUAUCUUCUUCUUAUAGAACCUCUUAGCUAUAUCUCUUUGCUUCAAUAAUUUCCUCCACAUCCAAGAUCCAGCCUGAGUAUUCUUCUUCACUUCCCAGAAACAUUUCCUCUUUAGUAAGUUAUUUUUGAUCCACUUCCCCCAAAGAGAAUCCCCUGUUAACAACCUCCAUAUUAAUUUCAGACCAGCAACCUUAUUCACUUCCUUUAAAGCUCUAAUUCCCAGCCCUCCUUCACAUUUAAGUUUACAAAUAUCCAAACUCAGGCUGUCCAUUGUUAAGAAAAACAGACGUCUUUGACUUGGUCAUUUUGAAAAAGUCUCUUAGCUUUAGUCUAUUAGUUGCCGAACACUCUAAAACAGAGGUGCAUAAGAUAUUAUGUAAAACACAACUUGAACAAGGAGGAACAAAUAAAGAACCAUAAGAAAUGUUAUGCAACCCCCAAGUCAAUAACAAAGGUAACAAUAAAUUGCUUACAAACUAGAAAUUCGAGUCAUUGUCAUUAUUAUCAGAUAAAUAUUAUUGACCGACUCUGUUUUGUCGUGCGUUCAUCAUCUUAUAUUUCACUCAUUCCCUUGUUUACGCACUUCCACGAGGAGCAAUAGUUGCUUCACAUUGAAGUUGUGCUUUACGUAAAUAUAUAAGUACACGCCAAGAUUGUACCUCUUGGCUGGCUUUGGUCACGAGCUAGAAGAAAACUGGACCUAGAUCUACUACCACAACGCUAGAGCCCAACAAUAUACGAGUGCUGUUGCGGGUGUGCGAGCACAAGUCUCUUUAACAACCGAAAAUCGUGAGAGACAAUCUCAAGUAGAUAUGACAAAAAAAAAAAGUAGCAAGUUUCACAAUAGACUCAACGACCACGUUUUCUUCAAGGUUCAACAAUGUUUUGCAGCUAAUAAAAGAAAAAGACCCAACGUCAUCAACAGACUUUUAAGAAGGAUUUUUUCCACGACAGAAUAGUCGGCACAUUCAACUCUUACCCCCAGACCCAAAAGUCUACUAAUAUACUCAAAAGAUUUUAUAUUA